rnacentral:rRNA from 1 species
UAAUACGUAGGUGGCAAGCGUUAUCCGGAAUUAUUGGGCGUAAAGCGCGCGCAGGCGGUUUCUUAAGUCUGAUGUGAAAGCCCACGGCUCAACCGUGGAGGGUCAUUGGAAACUGGGAAACUUGAGUGCAGAAGAGAAAAGCGGAAUUCCACGUGUAGCGGUGAAAUGCGUAGAGAUGUGGAGGAACACCAGUGGCGAAGGCGGCUUUUUGGUCUGUAACUGACGCUGAGGCGCGAAAGCGUGGGGAGCAAACAGGAUUAGAUACCCUGGUAGUCCACGCCGUAAACGAUGAGUGCUAAGUGUUAGAGGGUUUCCGCCCUUUAGUGCUGCAGCUAACGCAUUAAGCACUCCGCCUGGGGAGUACGGUCGCAAGACUG